rnacentral:rRNA from 1 species
UGGGGAAUUUUGGACAAUGGGGGAAACCCUGAUCCAGCCAUCCCGCGUGUGCGAUGAAGGCCUUCGGGUUGUAAAGCACUUUUGGCAGGAAAGAAACGUCAUGGGUUAAUACCCCGUGAAACUGACGGUACCUGCAGAAUAAGCACCGGCUAACUACGUGCCAGCAGCCGCGGUAAUACGUAGGGUGCAAGCGUUAAUCGGAAUUACUGGGCGUAAAGCGUGCGCAGGCGGUUCGGAAAGAAAGAUGUGAAAUCCCAGAGCUCAACUUUGGAACUGCAUUUUUAACUACCGGGCUAGAGUGUGUCAGAGGGAGGUGGAAUUCCGCGUGUAGCAGUGAAAUGCGUAGAUAUGCGGAGGAACACCGAUGGCGAAGGCAGCCGCCUGGGAUAACACUGACGCUCAUGCAGGAAAGCGUGGGGAGCAAACAGG